rnacentral:rRNA from 1 species
GAUGAACGCUGGCGGCGUGCCUAAUACAUGCAAGUCGAGCGAACAGACGCGGAGCUUGCUCCUCUGACGUUAGCGGCGGACGGGUGAGUAACACGUGUAUAACCUACCUAUAAGACUGGGAUAACUUCGGGAAACCGGAUCUUAUACCGGAUAAUAUAUUGAACCGCAUGGUUCAAUAGUGAAAGACGGUUUUGCUGUCUCUUCUAGAUGGAUCCGCGCCGCAUUAGCUAGUUGUUAAGGUAACGGCUUACCACGGCAACGAUGCGUAGCCGACCUGUGAGGGUGCUCGGCCACACUGGAACUGAGACACGGUCCAGACUCCUACGGGAGGCAGCAGUAGGGAAUCUUCCGCAAUGGGCGAAAGCUUGACGGAGCAACGCCGCGUGAGUGAUGAAGGUCUUCGGAUCGUAAAACUCUGUUAUGAGGGAAGAACAAAUGUGUAAGUAACUAUGCACGUCUUGACGGUACCGAAUAAGAAAGCCACGGCUAACUACGUG